rnacentral:rRNA from 1 species
GACGAACGCUGGCGGCGUGCUUAACACAUGCAAGUCGAACGGUCCUGUUUUUGAAGCGCUUCGGCGUGGAGGGAGCGGGUAGUGGCGACGACGGGUGAGUAAUGCGCGAGGACCUGCCCGCGGGAGGGGGACAGCAGUUGGAAACGGCUGGUGAUACCCCGUAAGCCGGGAGGUAAAAGGGCGGAGACGCCCGCCUGCGGAUGGACUCGCGUCCUAUCAGCUAGUUGGUGAGGCAACGGCUCACCAAGGCGACGACGGGUAGCCGGCCUGAGAGGGUGUCCGGCCACACUGGAACUGAGACACGGUCCAGACUCCUACGGGAGGCAGCAGUGGGGAAUUUUGGGCAAUGGGGGAGACCCUGACCCAGCGACGCCGCGUGAGGGACGAAGGCCCUUGGGUCGUAAACCUCUUUUGCAGGGGAAGAAGAAGAUGACGGUACCUUGCGAACAAGUCCCGGCUAACUACGUG